CACGUAGGGCGCAAGCGUUGUCCGGAAUUAUUGGGCGUAAAGAGCUCGUAGGCGGUCUGUCGCGUCGAUCGUGAAAACUUGGGGCUUAACCCUGAGCUUGCGGUCGAUACGGGCAUGACUGGAGUUCGGCAGGGGAGACUGGAAUUCCUGGUGUAGCGGUGAAAUGCGCAGAUAUCAGGAGGAACACCGGUGGCGAAGGCGGGUCUCUGGGCCGUAACUGACGCUGAGGAGCGAAAGCGUGGGGAGCGAACAGG
rnacentral:rRNA from 1 species